rnacentral:rRNA from 1 species
UACGUAGGUUGCAAGCGUUGUCCGGAAUUAUUGGGCGUAAAGCGCGCGCAGGCGGUCUUUUAAGUCUGAUGUGAAAUCUUGCGGCUCAACCGUAAGCGGUCAUUGGAAACUGAAAGACUUGAGUGCAGAAGAGGAGAGUGGAAUUCCACGUGUAGCGGUGAAAUGCGUAGAUAUGUGGAGGAACACCAGUGGCGAAGGCGACUCUCUGGUCUGUAACUGACGCUGAGGCGCGAAAGCGUGGGGAGCAAACAGG